rnacentral:misc_RNA from 1 species
CUUUUCUCUCCUACCCAUUUAAUCGGACCAAUUAACCACCAAUUUUUUAAAAUGAAACUAUCUAUUGAACAGUUUGAAAUAAACCAGUUCAGUUAACCUCUUUUUCGCUUCGGUUUUAGGGUUUUCAGUUAGAAGAAUAAUUUUUCGGUUUGUCUUGCUCACUCCUCCUACCUACCCUAGAGACAGAGUAGCAUUCAUUAAGCUCAAAACAACCUCAAGACAUCAAUAAACACUAGUAGCCUACAUAGUGCAGUUGUUAACUCGAGUAUCAUUGUUCUGCCAAGAUACAUCAACACGAAACACCACCCCCACCAAAAAAAAAA